GCUCGUUUGGCCAAGUGGUAAGGCGUCGCACUUGUACUGAAAAAGUCAUGCGAAGAGCGGUUGUUCGACUCAGCCAACGAGCA